rnacentral:rRNA from 1 species
GGAGGGGGCAAGCGUUGUUCGGAAUUACUGGGCGUAAAGGGCGCGUAGGCGGUAUGCCAUGUCAGGGGUGAAAGGCCUGGGCUCAACCCAGGAACUGCCUUUGAAACUGGCAAACUAGAGUCCGAUAGAGGAUGGCGGAAUUCCCAGUGUAGAGGUGAAAUUCGUAGAUAUUGGGAAGAACACCAGUGGCGAAGGCGGCCAUCUGGAUCGGCACUGACGCUGAGGCGCGAAAGCGUGGGGAGCAAACAGGGAUUAGAUACCCUGGUAGUCCACGCCGUAAACGAUGUGUGCUAGACGUUGGGGGGUCUUAGACCCCUGGGUGUCGUAGCUAACGCGUUAAGCACACCGCCUGGGGAGUACGGCCCGCAAGGUUAA